UCGACUGAAAUUGCCUCACGAUCAACUAGUUGAUCGACGCAUUGAGCACCCCUGCUUUAGAUUGUUCAAUGCCAGGUUGUGUUGACCAUACCAAAGCUCCAGUCUCACCACUUCCUGCCGAUAUGCAGACUCGUCGCCAUCUUUGAUGAGGCCGACGACCAUGGUGUCAUCUAAAACUUCAGGGGUUUGACAGUCGGAUGCCUCAUGGUGCGGUCGUUUGUGUAGAGCGAGAAGAGCAGAGGGGAGCGGACACAACCUUGCAGUGCCCCGGAGCUGAUAGUGCGCAUGGAUGAGGUGGUGCCCCCCAGUUGUUGAUCUUUUGUUGUUUGAAGAUCUGUCUAACGUCCCUUUCAUGGAUGUUAAACAGUGGAGUGGAAGGUGAUGCGGCUUGUGGUGUGGCUUGAUGGGUCCGUUUCUCUGGAUGUUCUGCAUUUGGGUCUGCUCGCGCACCACUGGCACGUGACAGAAUGAACUGGCCAGAACAGGACCCAACAAGGCAGAAGCGGUGUCGCCGGCCACGCCAUCGGGCACACCGUGUUCCAGCACCCCCAGCCUUAGGACCAAGCACCCCCUAUCCAAGUCUGGGUCAAGCAUCGCGUCGCCUGGGUCAAGCAUCGCGUCGCCCCACACCUGCUGAUUGUUGUCAUCACCACCCAACCGUCGAGAACAUUCCAUUCUAGCACGCUAUCUGCUGUAAUCACUUUCUUGCCACAUUCUCACACUGCAACUUUUCAUCCACAGACUUUCACACAUUAAGCAGUAUUGCAAAUACAUCGCCUUGUUGAUUAACUUUUAUACAUUUCAUUUCCUUUAUUCCCUCUCAUGGCCUCAGCCCACUGAGGCCAUACCACCGACAAUUCACACUCCAAACUCCCGGAGGGCGACAGCCGUCUGCUCCUCCCGGGGGUCCUUCUGUGGAAGCAUCAUGUA